CGGCCAUAGCAGUGGGGACACUCCCGUACCCAUCCCGAACACGGAGGAUAAGCCCACUCGCGUUCCGCGGAGUACUGGGGUGUGCGAACCCCUGGGAAACGUGGUUCGCCGCCUGCC
rnacentral:rRNA from 1 species